rnacentral:rRNA from 1 species
GUGUUACAAUGGGGGGUACAGAGGGUCGCUACCACGCGAGUGGAUGCCAAUCCCCAAAACCUCUCUCAGUUCGGACUGGAGUCUGCAACCCGACUCCACGAAGCUGGAUUCGCUAGUAAUCGCGCAUCAGCCACGGCGCGGUGAAUACGUUCCCGGGCCUUGUACACACCGCCCGUCAAGCCAUGGGAGCCGGGGGUACCUGAAGUGCGUAACCGCGAGGAGCGCCCUAGGGUAAAACUGGUGACUGGGGCUAAGUCGUAACAAGGUAAC